CAGUAGCCACGGUAAUACAGAGGGUGCGAGCGUUAAUCGGAUUUACUGGGCGUAAAGCGUGCGCAGGCGGUUAUAUAAGACAGAUGUGAAAUCCCCGGGCUCAACCUGGGAACUGCAUUUGUGACUGUAUAGCUAGAGUACGGCAGAGGGGCAUGGAAUUCCGCGUGUAGCAGUGAAAUGCGUAGAUAUGCGGAGGAACACCGAUGGCGAAGGCAAUCCCCUGGGCCUGUACUGACGCUCAUGCACGAAAGCGUGGGGAGCAAACAGGAUUAGAUACCCGUGUAGUCCCUGUCUCUUAUAA
rnacentral:rRNA from 1 species